AUACGGGGGGUGCAAGCGUUAUCCGGAUUCAUUGGGUUUAAAGGGUGCGCAGGCGGACUUGUAAGUCAGUGGUGAAAUCCCGGGGCUCAACCUCGGAACUGCCAUUGAUACUGCAAGUCUUGAGUUUGGUUGAAGUGGGCGGAAUGUAGCAUGUAGCGGUGAAAUGCAUAGAUAUGCUACAGAACACCGAUCGCGAAGGCAGCUCACUAAACCAACACUGACGCUCAGGCACGAAAGCGUGGGGAGCGAACAGGAUUAGAAACCCUGGUAGUCC
rnacentral:rRNA from 1 species